rnacentral:rRNA from 1 species
UACAGAGGGGGCAAGCGUUGUUCGGAAUUACUGGGCGUAAAGGGCGCGUAGGCGGCCUGUUAAGUCGAACGUGAAAUCCCCGGGCUCAACCCGGGAACUGCGUCCGAUACUGGCAGGCUUGAAUUCGGGAGAGGGAUGCGGAAUUCCAGGUGUAGCGGUGAAAUGCGUAGAUGUCUGGAGGAACACCGGUGGCGAAGGCGGUGGUCUGGGCCGGCACUGACGCUGAGGAGCGAAAGCGUGGGGAGCAAACAGG